CAACUAAAUGUCCGAAUAAGCUUUACCAACACCAAGGUUUAAAGCUAGCGGCAAAUCAGUACCACAAAUAGAAUCCAAAAUCUUAAAAACAUUCAAUCCUCCAAAGGACAAGCAAAACAAAAAGAAUUAAGAAAAAAAGAGAAAAAGAAGUUGCCAGAGCUAAAUUAAAGACGUUCAAUGAAAAU